UCUCCGUACGGGGAAGGAUGAGAAGCUUCGACUAAGGUUCGAUUCGAGCGCAGCGAGAAAGCGUUGCCGCAGGCAACGACCCGAAGGGCGAAGCGCGCAGCGCUGAGUCAUCCUUCCCCCACCACCA
rnacentral:sRNA from 3 species